AUGGUCCUACUCACAAGGG
rnacentral:misc_RNA from 1 species